GGCCCCAUGGUGUAAUGGUAUGCAUCGCUGCGAAUGGUAAUUUGUGUACCUCUCCAACUGGUAUGCAGCAGGCGUGGGUUCAAAUCCUACUGGGGCCA